UUGUUUUAUUUUGUUUGUUCUUUUGUGGUGUAGAGUGGCUUCUCCCUUAUACUUGUGUUUUGAGAUGUAGCUAAGAUUAUACUGUUAGGGUUUCUUUCGAUGCGUGAUCAGGAGAAUUUGAUUAUGAAGUGAGGUUAUAUUGGUGUUCUGAGUUGGGUCUAUGACUAAUAAAUGAGAUUCUGAUGUGGGUUUUUUGGGAUACUGUCUUAAUCCCUCUUUACCUUUGAUAUUUGUUCUCUUAUCGAUUGACCAUAAAAAGUAGGCUCGUAAAAUUAUGUUCUUUGUUUGUGUUUGUGCAAUUAUGGGUUUUGGUUGGGAUGGUAGAUCCUGAAUUUGGCUUUCUAGAGGGUAAAGAUGGUUUCGGAGUCAUGGUUUCGUAAUUUGUGGAGAACCCCCCGAAAGCAUGAUGCUUCUGGAAAAGUGGUGAUAGGAGUAUUAGCGUUUGAAGUUGCAAGCUUAAUGUCAAAGCUGGUUCAUAUGUGGCAGUCAUUGAGUGAGAAGCAGGUUGCUCGGCUGAGAGAGGAGGUCACAAAUUCUGUUGGAAUAAAAAAGCUUGUGUCGGAGGAUGAUGAUUUUAUAGUUGGUUUGAUUUGUGCGGAGAUGAUCGAGAAUGUGAGAUGCUUGGAAAAAUCUGUGGCCAGGCUGGCAAAGAAAUGCAAUGAUCCUAAUUUGAAGAAUUUUGAGCUUGUUUUUUGGGAGUGGAUGAAGGUUGGUGCCGACCCAUAUGGUUGGGCAUUUAGUUCAAAGAAAAUGGAUAAGAAAGUCAAGAAAAUGGAAUGGUUUAUUUCAGUCAAUGCAAGUUUGUACCAAGAGAUGGAAUUGCUUACUGAUCUUGAACAAACGCUGAGGAGAAUGAAGUGUAAUGGUGGGGAGCAAGGUAAUUUGAUUGAAUUUCAGAAGAAGGUUUCUUGGAAGCAGCAUGUUGUGAAGAAUCUGCAGGACAUCUCUCCUUGGAACAGGACAUAUGAUUUUGUGGUUCUUCUUUUCGCUAGAUCUCUAUUCACAAUAUAUGGUCGGAUCAAACAUGUGUUUGGAGUUAAUCAGACCGUCGAUGUUGAUGUUGAUGUUGAUGUUGAUGAAUCUGGAUUUGCAGAUUCUGAUUUUAUUGAUCGUAGCCAAUCAGUUUCUGCAUUGAUGCAAUCAUCAGUUCAUCCAUCUGAAAGUAGCAGUCUUCCUCGAUUUUCUUCUGGUCCCCUUGGAAGGUUUACUACAAAAUCAGGUCCAAUUUCUAAAACAAACAAGACCAGUUAUAUCCAUUCGGGUCUUCCUCAUGACUCUAUCACUAAGUCAGGUCCUAUUUCCGGAAAGGACAGGAAUAUCCACUUUUAUUCUGGACCCCUCGGGAAGACGGCAACCAAAUCAGGUUUAAUUUCUGGAAAGGAUAAAUCCAGCAAGAAGAAGUGGUGGACUCAUGUCCAAUCACCAUUCCAGCUGGGAAAGAAACCACGACCUAAAUCCAACCUAUUGACUGCAGAGGGACCUUUGAAGGGACAGUUUAUAGCUACGCAUAGCACUCCUGUUGCCAAUGGUCUGUUGAAUUCAAACGAUCUUCUAGCGACUGUCAAUGGAACCAGGGGAAGCGAUGCAAAUAACCUUCCUCAGGGCGCUGCAUAUCCAUCACGGUUUUGUCCCCAACAUGGUUUGUUGAAAGCUCCUCCUGAAACCCUUGGUGCUGCUGCAUUAGCUCUGCAUUAUGCAAAUGUUAUAAUUGUAAUUGAGAAGCUAGUGGCAUCUCCUCACUUGAUUGGUCAUGAUGCAAGAGAUGACCUCUACAACAUGCUACCUGCAAGUGUCAGAUCUGCUCUUAGGGCAAAGCUAAAGCCAUUUAAAAAGAGCUUGGCCGCAUCAGAUUAUGAUACAGUUCUUGCAGGAGAGUGGACUGAUGCAAUGGCAUUAAUAUUAGAAUGGUUGGCUCCACUUGCUCAUAACAUGAUAAGGUGGCAAUCUGAGCGGAGUUUUGAGCAGCAAAAUUUUGUUUCGAGGACAAAUGUACUUCUGGUUCAGACCCUCUACUUUGCAAAUUUGGAGAAGAUAGAGGCAACAAUCACUGAGCUUCUUGUUGGUCUAAAUUAUGUCUGGAGAUUAGAUAGAGAAGUUCAUGCAAAAGCUUUGCCUGAAUCUGCCUGCGGUAGCGUGUUUGAUAAGUAUUUGGACUUAGAAGCAUGAAAAUAUUCCCGGCUCCUUAUAUUGGCUCACUUGGAAUCCUAAUUACCUCAAAAAUCAACGGCAUCCUGUGUAUGGUCAAAGAUGGUAGUCCCAGACUCAGCUGUGAGGUUCUUGAUUCUGCCUGGCGACAUUGAUAAUUUGGUUGAUCUUCUUGCAAGUUGCAACCAUUCAGAUGAGAUAUACUCAUAUUCUGAAAAUUCCAACACUAUAAGCAAUUGGUGAGUGAAUGAUAUAUUAUGAGCUCCAAAAGCCAUUUUAGUUUAUUUUGUUCUUUCUGGUGAGUGCUGAUUAUCUUUCUUGCCCGCUGUGAAACGUGGCUCGCGACCCGUUCCUGGUAAAUCUCAUUACCCUUUCUAUUCAAGUCAUAUUUUCAUGAAAUGUGUAUAUUUAUUAGCUAUACCCAUUAAUAGGAUUGUAAAUCUUUCUACAUAAAGGAGAUUUCAGGUUGGUCAUGUUUCUCUUGAGAUGAUGAACUUUGAACUGCAUAGUCUCAAAAGCUAGUCUGAAUAGGGUUGCGUAAAUGCUUCCCCGAUUCAAGUGUUCCCCUGGAAAUGCUCCAGUGAGGUUGUUUCUGGUUUGGUUACAACAAGCAAAUCGAUUGUGGUAGACAUUGCCUACAAAUUUUUGAGCUUUGUAUUUCAGCACUCAUUCUUGUUAUCACUGGAAGUGGCGGAUAAGGUAAUUGAUCUGUACUUUAUUUAAUUUUUUUGGAGCAUUUCUUUAACAUAAACUAUUGUGGCUACCAUUAUCCAUUGAAGCAUUUCUUACCAGUUAAUCCUGCUUAUUUUGUUAUCAUCAUGCUAAGCAUAGCCCAUAAUUAUUCAUACUAAAUGCCUCCCCAAAAAUGGUCGACUUGGCAAAGAAUGAAACCGUCCAGUCGGAGGACGCGAGUUGGAUAUGCAAGCUAACAGCCCACAAGUUGGCAUUUUGGGUUGGCCGGGGGGUCUGUUGGAGGACUUGGGUUGUACUCUGUACGCUAAUACCUGGCGUCUUACAUAAAAUUCUGACAUGGGAGGUUGAGUUGGCUAGGAGUGAAGUGGACUCGAGUUGGACUCCCACACCAACAACUCGCAACUUACCUGUGAAUGGUAGAAGUGAACACUGGACCAGGUGCCGACCUUUCAGUUCAGGUCAGACCUGAUCCAGUGUUAUUUUAGGAGCUUAACCCAUUGAUAACUCUGUUAAGGGUUAUCGGGUAACCUGGUUCUGGGUCACCCUGUUAUCAGGCUCAAGUUGUAGGUUACCCGGUCAUGCUUAACAGGGCCGGAGGGCCCAGCCCACAAGCACAUUUACAGACUGAAGAAUAUAAUCAACCUUUUCCUGGGCC